rnacentral:rRNA from 1 species
UCCUACGGGAGGCAGCAGUAGGGAAUCUUCGGCAAUGGACGAAAGUCUGACCGAGCAACGCCGCGUGAGUGAAGAAGGUUUUCGGAUCGUAAAACUCUGUUGUUAGAGAAGAACAAGGAUGAGAGUAACUGUUCAUCCCUUGACGGUAUCUAACCAGAAAGCCACGGCUAACUACGUGCCAGCAGCCGCGGUAAUACGUAGGUGGCAAGCGUUGUCCGGAUUUAUUGGGCGUAAAGCGAGCGCAGGCGGUUUCUUAAGUCUGAUGUGAAAGCCCCCGGCUCAACCGGGGAGGGUCAUUGGAAACUGGGAGACUUGAGUGCAGAAGAGGAGAGUGGAAUUCCAUGUGUAGCGGUGAAAUGCGUAGAUAUAUGGAGGAACACCAGUGGCGAAGGCGGCUCU